AGCAGCCGCGGUAAUUCCAGCUCCAAUAGCGUAUAUUAAAGUUGUUGCAGUUAAAAAGCUCGUAGUUGAAUUUCGGGAUCAGUACGCCGGUCGUGCCUUCGGUAUGUACUGGUGUCACUGAUUCCUCCCUUCUGAAGAACCGUUAUGCCAUUCAUUUGGUGUGACGGGAAAUCAGGACUGUUACUUUGAAAAAUUAGAGUGUUUAAAGCAGGCUCGCGCUUGAAUACAUUAGCAUGGAAUAAUGAAAUAGGACGUUUGAUCUUAUUUUGUUGGUUUCUAGGAUCGACGUAAUGAUUAAUAGGGAUAGUUGGGGGCAUUAGUAUUCAAUUGUCAGAGGUGAAAUUCUUGGAUUUAUUGAAGACUAACUACUGCGAAAGCAUUUGCCAAGGAUGUUUUCAUUAAUACAAGAACGAAAGUUAGGGGAUCGAAGACGAUCAGAUACCGUCGUAG
rnacentral:rRNA from 1 species